UCUAUCACAGAGUGAAGAUGUCUGUGCAUGUAUUUGUUUAACGUUUACUUCAUGUUACACUCCAAGAAGCACAUGAUACUUCACAAAUCAACCAACUGAUUCCAAUGGCGUGGAAACCAUGAUGAUUGGAGCUGAUGGAUUUGUUGCAGCCUUUAUCCCCCUUCACAGUCGUUGAGUUUGAAGUAACUUCGUCCGCCUGUUUCACCGUUGAGGUCUUGGUUGGAUUGUUCUUUGUCAGGGUCCUCACCCUCGACCUUCCCGCCAUGGGUGGCCCUACCAAGAGCGUAGCUCCAGACGGCAUUGUUCUCAGGAUCUCAGGACCACACAAGCUUCUCCACCAUGACAAGGUGACAAUCCACGGAGAAGUAAAACUAGGGUUCUUUUGAAGACCCUGACCUGGAAUUACACGCUGAUGACGGUUCUUUGCAGAAAUGGGACCAGCUUGCAGGGUUCCAUAACUGGCCGUUGUUCAGCACGCCAAAGGCUCAGCCAAAGAGUCUGGCUUGAAUUUGUAAGCUGAGGACCCCGGGGCUCUGGAAAUGGAGUCAAAGAAAACACCUUGUCAGACCCUGGGGAUUUGUCCACCCUGAUUUGUCAGAAAAUUGUAAUACAGAAAGCCUGCCAGCUAAGAGUGAUGGGUGAUCAAAACUGUACACACAAUUCUCCACAAAGGAUUGCACUUCUGUGACGUGGGUUGUUACUUGCC